rnacentral:rRNA from 1 species
GCUAAAAAUCUAGCCCACUUUUCCCCGUAUAAACUUCAUCUGUAAUUUUUACAAAAUAAAACAUUUUAACAUUUUAGUACAGGAGAUUAAAAAACUGAUUGGAGCAAUAAAAAUAGUACCGCAAGGGAAAGAUGAAAUAAAAAUGAAAUAUAUUUUAAGCACAAAAAAGUAGAGAUUACCCCUCGUACCUUUUGCAUCAUGGUUUAACUAGUCUAAUCAAGCACAAAGCAUUAUAGUUUGACCUCCCGAAACUAAGCGAGCUACUUCAAGGCAGCUUUAUGAGCAAACCCGUCUCUGUUGCAAAAGAGUGGGAUGACCUUCAAGUAGGGGUGACAGACCUAACGAGCUUGGUGAUAGCUGGUUACUCAAGAAACGGAUUUUAGUCCAACCUAAAACUUUUAUUUGUACAAAAAAACUUUUAUAAAGCUUUAGAGCAAUUCAAAUAAGGUACAGCCUAUUUGAAACAGGAUACAACCUCAAAUGACGGGUAAUAAACUAGCUUGAUCAGUCAAGUAGGCCCGAAAGCAGCCACCUUUUAUAAAGCGUCACAGCUUAACUGAAAAAUUCUUCUAAUCCCCUUAUUUACCUCAAACCCUCUUUUUUUAUUGAGUAAUUCUAUACCCCUAUAGAACUUAUUAUGUUAAAACUAGUAACAAGAAGCCCAACCUUCUCUUAAAUGCAAGUGUACAUCAGAAAGGAUUAACCACUGAUUAUUAACGCCCGUGAACUAACAUAAACAACUUUUCCUCAAGAAAAACUUUAUAACCUCCCACGUUAACCUAACACAAGAGCAUUUCAAGAAAGAUUUUAAGAAAAAGAAGGAACUCGGCAAAUUUUAACCCCGCCUGUUUACCAAAAACAUCGCCUCUUGAAUAAAAUAUAAGAGGUCCAGCCUGCCCAGUGACCACUAGUUUAACGGCCGCGGUAUCCUGACCGUGCGAAGGUAGCGUAAUCACUUGUUCUUUAAAUGAGGACUAGUAUGAAUGGCAUCACGAGGGUUUUACUGUCUCCUUUUUCUAAUCAGUGAAACUGUUCUCCCCGUGAAGAAACGGGGAUGAAUAUAUAAGACGAGAAGACCCUAUGGAGCUUUAAAUUUUAUUUCAAUUGCUUUAUUACAUUACCAGUCCUGACCUCUUACACUUAUUUCAAGCAUGAUGAUAGUAAAUUUUAGGUUGGGGUGACCACGGAGUAUAAAAAAACCUCCGCAUUGAACCUAGGCCUUAGCCUUGAACAAAGAGCUACAACUCCAAGUACUAAUAUAUUAACAUUCAUUGACCCAAUAUUUUUUGAUCAACGAACCAAGUUACCCUAGGGAUAACAGCGCAAUCUACUUCGAGAGCCCCUAUCGACAAGUGGGUUUACGACCUCGAUGUUGGAUCAGGGUAUCCCAGUGGUGCAGCCACUACUAAAGGCUYGUUUGUUCAACGAUUAAAACCCU